UCAUUGGCGACAUCAAGAAGCGCAGCGUGGUGGCGCUCCGGUGGAUUGACUGCAAGGUCUCCGUCGAGAGUAGCGCUGCUCCUGGCAGUCGCACUUCUCUGAAGCCCUCACCUAACAGGUUCAAAUUAUAUCGGAGGAGGAUCUGAAGGGUAUGAAGCAGGGCUAUGGGAUGCAAGUUGAGGGAGAGGAGGGAGGCGCGGUGUUGAGCGUCAUCGGCUACAUCCAGAAGCGCAUUUUGUAGGAGAUCCAGUGGCAGCGGAUUGACUACAAAGUCUCUGUGAAGAGUAGCGCCCCUUCUGGCAGUCACUCUUCUCUGAGGCCGUACCUUACCUAUGAGGUUACAACCGCACCACUCUGUUUGGUUCAAGUGUGUCUGCAUGAAGAGUGACAAUCAAUCUUGUGUUCCAUGUUAUGUUCUGAGUUGCCCUGUCUUGUUCAAGAUGGAAUGGACGGGCCCUGGUUCCCGGUCCAGAUGUGGAUCCUUGUAUCGCUGUUUUUGCGGUUCCAGUGCCACCACUGUUUUUAGUCUUCUAUAGCCGUUUGGUGGGUUUUUACAAUGGAGUAACAGGCUUGUAGUGAUGAGUACAUAUUGCCAUUUUGCAGUUCCAGCGGCACAUA